rnacentral:rRNA from 1 species
ACCAGACUCCUACGGGAGGCAGCAGUGGGGAAUAUUGGGCAAUGGGCGAAAGCCUGACCCAGCAAUGCCGCGUGAAUGAAGAAGGUCUUAGGAUUGUAAAAUUCUGUCCUAUGGGAAGAAACAAAUGACGGUACCAUAGGAGGAAGCCCCGGCUAACUACGUGCCAGCAGCCGCGGUAAUACGUAGGGGGCGAGCGUUGUCCGGAUUUACUGGGUGUAAAGGGAGCGUAGACGGCAAUACAAGUCGGAAGUGAAAUACCCGGGCUCAACCUGGGAACUGCUUUGGAAACUGUAUGGCUGGAGUGCUGGAGAGGUAAGCGGAAUUCCUAGUGUAGCGGUGAAAUGCGUAGAUAUUAGGAGGAACACCAGUGGCGAGGGCGGCUUACUGGACAGUAACUGACGUUGAGGCUCGAAAGCGUGGGGAGCAAACAGGAUUAGAUACCCCCGUA